CAAUUUGAAACCCUAGUAAUGUCUUCGACUGUACAUUCUCCCCGAAAUCUAGUUGAUUCACAACAAACGAUACAUUGAAAUAGUGAAAUAAGUCAAGAAAUCAUCGUUCAUUUCUCAAACCACAAAAGGUAUGGUAAAAUAUUCUUUUUUCUUCGGUUAUGUUAAAAGAUCUGCGUUCCUUACUCAAACCACGAAUAAUAUUUUAAUUUUUCUGCAAUCGGCAUGGUUUUGGUUUUAAAUUUGUAUGUUCUGUGUAUAUUUGCAGCUAUGCACACAUUGAAGCUCCAUUAUGGCGGUAUAUGUUUUACCAGUGAUACAGAGAUACUUCAUUGAUGAGUUCAUGUUCCCAAUCUAUUGUUGCAUCUUCGUGUGGUUUGAUUGAUUCUUACAAAAUUGGUUCCUCCUUUGAGAAUUAGAGACGAAAUAGAUGUUGAAGAAGAAGAAGAUUGAGAGUUUGGGCAUAUAUAGUUAGGGUUUAGGUAAGGGCAUCUAUGCCUAUUCAGUUUACAUCUAACAGUUUC
rnacentral:lncRNA from 1 species